CCCGCCCUGCUCUGUUCCCUGUGUGCAGUCUCACACCCUCCCUGAGUUGAGGUGAGGGUGGGCGCAGGUUCCCACCUACCCAGAAGGUGGGCCUUCUGGAGGCCACGCCUCCACCCAGAGAUGCAGGACUGGAUCUGCAGGGCCCUCUGUCCUCACACUCUACAAGGAGGACACCGGGGCUCAGACACGCCCUGCCCCACGUCCAGGACUCUGAGGUGGCGGGUCCAGGACUUGAACUCCAGUCUUGCUGAGCCCACAGAGCCUUCUGCUCCUUCUGGAUGCUUCCUCCUGGCUGCACCACAGAAUCUCUGGGCCUCACCCUGUGAGUGCAGAGCCCUGCGGGGUGAGCCCGGAGACUGUAUUUAAUAACGCUUCUCAGGGGGUUCCAUCUGCAGCUGUGCGACCCUGGCUCAUCCAGAGCCUUCCCUGGACAGAGGGGAUGAAGGUCAGAGCAGUCAUGAGCCAUCCAGCUGACAGUCCCUGGGACCCCCUCUGAUGGAGGCCCUGCCCGCCUGUGACUGGUGGUGGGCGGGGUGAGAGAUUGGGGGCUGGGAACUUUGGUGGCCCCCCAGGGCUGGCUGGGAUGGAGGCUCUGCUCACCCGCUCUCCAGGAUGACGUUGGCAUUGGUUCACAGAAUGGACCAUGGGGGUGGGAGGACAUGAUUUGAACUUCCUUUUUCCUUUUCUCAGUUUCUUUCCCAAUCCUAAUAGAUGUUUUCCACAGUUCUCUCAUGGCCAGCCAGGUAGUCCUGGCUUUCUCUACGUGCCUGCACUUAUAGGCCUCAGAGGACAGAUUCUGCACUUUCAUGGAACCCUCUUAUCUGAGUCAAGCCCUAAACCUGCGUUUUCUCAUUUUCAGCUUUACAACAUUCUGUGGUGAUGUAUCCUUAUGUUCAUUUUACCCAGGGAGAAACUGAGGCCCAGAGCCUUAAUGGCAUGGAGAGUCCCAAACUCUCCCAUUCCUGUUGGGGGAAGGGAGGAUGAACUCCUGUCACCAAUUCAGCCCAAGCAUCUUUCAAAGUCCACAGGGAGGUGACCUCACUUACUCUGGUUCCCUCCAGGUCUGGAUUUGGACCGCACUCAGGUCUGUCUGCCUCGUGAGCUUGGUGCUUACCCAAGAUUGCCCCUCCCCCACCAGCCACCCCGUUAACCUCCCUCACUUCCCCUUCCUUCCACAGCCCAUCCUGGGGGGUCAUUCAUUGUGCUUCAUUCAGCCGGCCCCUUCUCAGGGUCUGGGGAAACAAAGGCAGGAGGGAUGUGAGUGUGGCCCCUGAGGUGAGGCAGGACACAUGAGGCAAAGAAAGAGCACAGGGAAGGGGGAGGUACGAAGGGCAAGGUCUUGGUCUCUGCUCUUUCCCGUGGGCUGUCCACGGGCCUCUGCUGACAUCAGCACUCUGUGUACUUCCUCUUGUUUUGCAGGCAGGGAGGGGCCCAGAGAAGGCUUCUCCUGCCCUGGUUGGGUGCAGGCGUGCAGUGAGCCCUCCAGGAACUAGAGUCCAGCUGGGAAGGGAAGACUCUCAGCUUGCUUCACUAUGUGAGGCAAGUAGAGGGAGGCCCAGGCCCCACAAAGUUGCAACAGGCAGGGAUGACAUCUCCCACUUCCUGUGUGUCGGGUGCUUUGCACUCGUGUUGGCCAUGUUUUCUUAUUUGCUGUAUUCUUGAUGCUCUGACAUCUGGGGCCUCACUAACCAGGGAGAGACUGUCCCUCCCAGGGCUGCCAGUUCUUAGAAGAGCAAUGGACGUGCCCAGGAGCUCACCUGUCAUAUGCAAACCAACCAGUCCAGAGCCCACGCUCCCCACCACCUCCUCCAUCUGGCUCUUAUGCUCCAGGAGGCCCAUGUUCUUCUGCCAUAUUCAUCCCAGGGCCAGGUGCCAGGCAACUAGGGACAGCCCGUAAUCCCCAGAGCCCACAGACAUUAUUCAUACCAGCUGAUCCUAAACCUGCCUGCUCUCCCUUGCCUUGUCUUUCUCACAGAACCUACAACAAAGGCUCCUGCCCAUGUUUCCCCCUCCCUCCCUCCGCCUCCUGACUGACCCUAGUGCCUCCCUGCAUGGCCCUGCGUGGAGUGCUGGGCAUCUUGUUUUUAUGGUUUUGUGAAUAUAAACUGCUUCCUUCAUAACAGUCAUUUGCAUGUGUGUCUUACCAUACCUGAUUAAAACACAUCCAGGUUAUGUUUUAAAAUAGCUCUUAACUCUCCCAGCAGCCCCAGGAGGUAAGCAGGGUCUAUUUUGAUCCUCAUUUUUAUGCAGGAAGAAACUCAGGUCCCGAGUGAGAUGAUGAGAUUUAACUGAGGUCACAUCACGUGUAAAUGUCUGCUGUGGCGUUGGCUCUGAGCCCAGAGCCUGUGCUCCCUACCACUUCUCCACGCAGUGAUGAAGGUCAACAGCCCCUCUGGCCCCGUUAACAGCCAACGCUUCCCUUUUCUGUGUUGUCUUCCUUCUGCACAGGGAGAAGCUUGAGGACUGAUUGGGACACUGGCUCAGGGGGUCCUUGUCACGUGGCACAGAGAUGAGAGCAGAGGGCUGAGAACUGGGGAUCAAAGGCUGACCCCCGACCUUGCUGAGCUCCCAGGCUGGGAGAAGUGCAGGAUACUCGGAAGAAUGGGACCAAGAGAUCAUUGUCUGCACUUCCCCUCAGAGCAGUGUGCUGGUUUCCCCAGGAUUCUGGGCUCCUGUUCUCUAGUUUCCUGAGGUUCACAGGUUCAUCUUUGGUGAGUUUGCUGGUUUUCUCACUGUUUCUCUGCUUCUUCCUGACCACACUCUUCAGUGCCUAUUUCUCAGCCAUCCCAACUAAACACACAGGGUUUUCAGUGAAUCUGUGCUAAAGAGUGACUUGUUCUGUGGACCCUUUCCAGGAUCGCAAUGUUCCACCCUAUCCCCUGGGAAGGAACUAUAGAGCUCAAGUAAGACUUCAAAAUGUUUUCAUGUGAAAAUACCUCACCCCCGCAACCUCUCAUGUCAUCCAAGCACAAAUUCUUCUUUCAUCCUGUAACCCCCAGGGUCAGUGUUGACUGGAGUUCAAAGGACAAAGUGAAGACUUUAAGUGUCACUUAGCUGAAGACUUUUCUCAGCAAUCUGGAAAAACCCUGUUCACUUUAUAAUUUAGGAGAGAACAACAACUCACCUUCUGGCAGAGCUCAUGGUCACAAGGGAAGAAAAAGUCUUACUGAAAAAUAUUUUAAAUGAUUUAAAAGCAAUGAUUCAACAGUAAGAUUAACAGGCCAUGCACAGCAAUGCCAGUUCCCUGAAAAGCAUUCCUUGCUGUCACUUGUCAACAUGGGGAAGGUUCAGCCUGUGCAGAGGCCUCCACCUCUCCUGCUGGAACUGGCCUCAGCUAUGGUUCCAUCCUGGCCUGGGCCUGACCAGCUGGUGUUGCUGCUCAUGAAGCCCACAGCCCUGCCUCUGCCAGCACAGGGCUUACUGGCACAAAACGCUUCAGAGCUGUAGUUGUCAAGGUGGGGCAUUUGCACUGCACAUGGUACAAAAUAUCCACUGGCGUCAUGCAGGAAAAAUUAGUAUUUCUAAUUUUUAAAGAUAACAGUAAUAAAAAGUUAACUUCAUUGUAUUUUUAAGUGACACUGGUACCCUCACUGGGAUCCUCAUGCCAUGGUUCACCUCUAACAAGAUCAGUAUCCUAAGGUCAGAGAGGCAAAUUCAAGAUUAUGACCAACUGCAACUUAUGUGCUACAGGAUGUAAUGGUUUUGUGGUCCCAAACAGUAUAUACCCCCUUUAAGAAUGCUGUUAUUUGAAUUUGGAAAUCAUUUUCUGACCUGUUGACAAGUCUUCCAAAUGAAGAAUCUCAGUGGGUUUUGACUCAUUUAUUUAAAAAGUAAUAAAUGCAGCCAAAGAAGCACCUAUUCUACUUGGAUUUACAUAUGUUUGAGACAUACUCUUUUCAGUUAUGAAGGUCAGUUUAUUUUGAGAGUUUUUAAUGAAAUUUCAACUAGAACUUCAGAAAACGUUAAGCCAUGAUUUUAAAAUUGUUUCUCAAAACAGGCAGAGUAGAAAGACGUGAG